rnacentral:rRNA from 1 species
UAAAGGGAUGGACCUGCGAUGCAUUAGCUAGUUGGUAAGGGUAACGGGCUUUACCGAAGGCGAUGAUGCAUAGCCCGAGUUGAGAGACUGAUCGGGCCACAUUGGGGACUGAGACACGGGCCCAAAACUCCUACGGGGAGGCAGCAGUAGGGAAUCUUCCACAAUGGACGAAAGUCUGAUGGAGCAACGCCGCGUGAGUGAAGAAGGUUUUCGGAUCGUAAAAGCUCUGUUGUUGGUGAAGAAGGAUAGAGGUAGUAACUGGCCUUUAUUUGACGGUAAUCAACCAGAAGUCACGGCUAACUACGUGCCAGCAGCCGCGGUAAU